rnacentral:rRNA from 1 species
UACGUAGGGUGCAAGCGUUGUCCGGAAUUAUUGGGCGUAAAGAGCUCGUAGGCGGUCUGUCGCGUCGGAUGUGAAAAACCCAGGGCUCAACCCUGGGCCUGCAUUCGAUACGGGCAGACUAGAGUUCGGUAGGGGAGACUGGAAUUCCUGGUGUAGCGGUGAAAUUCGUAGAUAUUGGGAAGAACACCGGUGGCGAAGGCGGCUCACUGGCUCAUUACUGACGCUCAGGCGCGAUAGCGUGGGGAUCAAACAGG